GAUGAACGCUGGCGGCGUACUUAACACAUGCAAGUCGAACGGAAAGGCUCCUGCUUGCAGGGGUACUCGAGUGGCGAACGGGUGAGUAACACGUGGGUGAUCUGCCCUGCACUUCGGGAUAAGCCUGGGAAACUGGGUCUAAUACCGGAUAGGACGAUGGUUUGGAUGCCAUUGUGGAAAGUUUUUCGGUGUGGGAUGAGCUCGCGGCCUAUCAGCUUGUUGGUGGGGUAAUGGCCUACCAAGGCGUCGACGGGUAGCCGGCCUGAGAGGGUGUACGGCCACAUUGGGACUGAGAUACGGCCCAGACUCCUACGGGAGGCAGCAGUGGGGAAUAUUGCACAAUGGGCGCAAGCCUGAUGCAGCGACGCCGCGUGGGGGAUGACGGCCUUCGGGUUGUAAACUCCUUUCGCUAGGGACGAAGCGCAAGUGACGGUACCUGGAGAAGAAGCACCGGCUAACUACGUG
rnacentral:rRNA from 1 species